AACCAACAGGGAUUGCCCCAGUAACGGCGAGUGAAGCGGCAACAGCUCAAAUUUGAAAUCUGGCCCCAGGCCCGAGUUGUAAUUUGCAGAGGAUGCUUUUGGCGAGGUGCCUUCCGAGUUCCCUGGAACGGGACGCCAUAGAGGGUGAGAGCCCCGUACGGUUGGACACCAAGUCUUUGUAAAGCUCCUUCGACGAGUCGAGUAGUUUGGGAAUGCUGCUCAAAAUGGGAGGUAUAUUUCUUCUAAAGCUAAAUAUUGGCCAGAGACCGAUAGCGCACAAGUAGAGUGAUCGAAAGAUGAAAAGCACUUUGAAAAGAGGGUUAAACAGCACGUGAAAUUGUUAAAAGGGAAGCGCUUAUGACCAGACUUGCGCCCGGUGAAUCACCCAGCUCUCGCGGCUGGGGCACUUUGCCGGCUCAGGCCAGCAUCAGCUCGCUGUCGGGGACAAAAGCUUCGGGAACGUAGCUCUCUUCGGGGAGUGUUAUAGCCCGUUGCAUAAUACCCUUCGGCGGGCUGAGGUACGCGCUCCGCAAGGAUGCUGGCGUAAUGGUCAUCAGCGACCCGUCUUGAAACACGGACCAAGGAGUCAACCUUAUGUGCGAGUGUUUGGGUGUUAAACCCCUACGCGUAAUGAAAGUGAACGCAGGUGAGAGCUUCGGCGCAUCAUCGACCGAUCCUGAUGUUCUCGGAUGGAUUUGAGUAAGAGCAUAUAGGGUUGGACCCGAAAGAAGGUGAACUAUGCGUGUAUAGGGUGAAGCCAGAGGAAACUCUGGUGGAGGCUCGCAGCGGUUCUGACGUGCAAAUCGAUCGUCAAAUAUGCGCAUGGGGGCGAAAGACUAAUCGAAC
rnacentral:rRNA from 1 species